rnacentral:rRNA from 1 species
UACGUAGGGACCGAGCGUUGUCCGGAUUUAUUGGGCGUAAAGAGCUCGUAGGCGGCUUGUCGCGUCGUCCGUGAAAAACCUGCGGCUCAACUGCAGGCUGGCGGUCGAUACGGGCAGGCUGGAGUUCGGUAGGGGAGACUGGAAUUCCUGGUGUAGCGGUGAAAUGCGCAGAUAUCAGGAGGAACACCGGUGGCGAAGGCGGGGUCUCUGGGCCGAUACUGACGCUGAGGGAGCGAAAAGCGUGGGGAGCGAACAGG